rnacentral:lncRNA from 1 species
AUUGCAUCUUAGCCAAGCAUGGCUCUUGGAUACAUCUUUUGGAAGAUUUAGAAUUCUAUGACAGCACCUCUUUUUUCUGAAGUAAUCUCCUUCUUCUCCACUCUCCCUUCUCUCUAAAAUCCUAAAAUAAAACUAAAAAAUAAAGAAAAAAGUAAUUUUUAUUGUGGCCUAUGACCUUUGCUGCUCUCAGUUCUCCUCCUCCCUCU